UGGCUCCAGCAUCGAUGAAGAACGCAGCGAAACGCGAUAUGUAAUGUGAAUUGCAGAAUUCAGUGAAUCAUCGAAUCUUUGAACGCACAUGGCGCCUUCCAGUAUCCUGGGAGGCAUGCCUGUCCGAGCGUCGUUUCAACCCUCGAGCCCCCGUGGCCCGGCGUUGGGGACCUGCCACGGCAGUCCCCCAAAUCCAGUGGCGGACCCGCUGGGCCCUCUCCUUGCGUAGUAGCAUCAGCCUCGCAUCGGGAGCCCGCGUGGCAUCCUGCCCCUAAACCCCCCCCAAAGCCCGCUCCGGCGGCACCAAGGUUGACCUCGGAUCAGGUAGGAAUACCCGCUGA
rnacentral:misc_RNA from 1 species